rnacentral:lncRNA from 1 species
AUAAACUAAAGGAAGAAAUGCGGUGCUGCGAACGCUGGCAGUCACCUUGCUAAACUUUGAUAACUUAGCCUCCGAUCAGCUCAAAACCUGCUACCAGGUGAACAAAUACUUGCAUAUGCACACGGGGUGUAGGGAGUAAAGUGAGUACUCCAACUCAGUGAGUAAUAAAUGUAAAUAAUAACUGAGCAGUAAGAAAUCACGUAAAAUAGACCAUCAUGAUGUAUAGAGCAGUGUAAAACCCUUUGAGAAAAAAAAGCAGUGAAGAAAUCUUAGUUUAGUUUAAACCUCUUUUGAAAAUGACGUUUUUUAAAGGUUACGAAAAUGAAUGCAAAAUAAAUAGUGCUGAUAAGCAUAGAAAUCCGCCCUUGGGGCAAAACGCUCAAUUAACAAACAAUGCCAGGCAAUCAGGUAGAUAUCACAUGAAGUGGCACAAACAACAGAUAAUGACAGACAAAUGAAAUAAAGUAAACACAUAGAACAGUACCACUGCCACUGCGGCGUGCAACCCGAUC